rnacentral:rRNA from 1 species
GACGAACGCUGGCGGCGUGCCUAAUACAUGCAAGUCGAGCGAAGUUUUUCUGGUGCUUGCCCUAGAAAAACUUAGCGGCGAACGGGUGAGUAACACGUAAAGAACCUGCCUCAUAGACUGGGACAACUAUUGGAAACGAUAGCUAAUACCGGAUAACAGUAUUUCUCGCACGAGAGAUAUUUAAAAGUUGGUUAUGCUAACACUAUGAGAUGGCUUUGCGGUGCAUUAGCUAGUUGGUGGGGUAAAGGCCCACCAAGGCGACGAUGCAUAGCCGACCUGAGAGGGUGAUCGGCCACACUGGGACUGAGACACGGCCCAGACUCCUACGGGAGGCAGCAGUAGGGAAUCUUCCGCAAUGGGCGAAAGCCUGACGGAGCAACGCCGCGUGAGUGAAGAAGGAUUUCGGUUCGUAAAGCUCUGUUGUUAGGGAAGAAUGGAUAUGUAGUAACUAUACAUGUAAGAGACGGUACCUAACCAGAAAGCCACGGCUAACUACGUG